rnacentral:rRNA from 1 species
ACGAACGCUGGCGGCGUGCUUAACACAUGCCAGUCGAACGGAAAGGCCCUGCUUUUGUGGGGUGCUCGAGUGGCGAACGGGUGAGUAACACGUGAGUAACCUGCCCUUGACUUUGGGAUAACUUCAGGAAACUGGGGCUAAUACCGGAUAGGAGCUCCUGCUGCAUGGUGGGGAUUGGAAAGUUUCGGCGGUUGGGGAUGGACUCGCGGCUUAUCAGCUUGUUGGUGGGGUAGUGGCUUACCAAGGCUUUGACGGGUAGCCGGCCUGAGAGGGUGACCGGCCACAUUGGGACUGAGAUACGGCCCAGACUCCUACGGGAGGCAGCAGUGGGGAAUAUUGCACAAUGGGCGGAAGCCUGAUGCAGCAACGCCGCGUGCGGGAUGACGGCCUUCGGGUUGUAAACCGCUUUCGCCUGUGACGAAGCGUGAGUGACGGUAAUGGGUAAAGAAGCACCGGCUAACUACGUG